rnacentral:rRNA from 1 species
CAGCAGUGGGGAAUUUUCCGCAAUGGGCGAAAGCCUGACGGAGCAAUACCGCGUGAGGGAAGACAGCCUACUGGGUUGUAAACCUCUUUUUUCAGGGAGGAAAAAAAUGACGUGUACCUGAAGAAUAAGCAUCGGCUAACUCCGUGCCAGCAGCCGCGGUAAGACGGAGGAUGCAAGUGUUAUCCGGAAUUACUGGGCGUAAAGCGUCUGUAGGUGGUUUAAUAAGUCAACUGUUAAAUCUUGAGGCUUAACUUCAAAACAGCAGUCGAAACUAUUAGACUAGAGUAUAGUAGGGGUAAAGGGAAUUUCCAGUGGAGCGGUGAAAUGCGUAGAUAUUGGAAAGAACACCGAUGGCGAAAGCACUUUACUGGGCUAUUACUAACACUCAGAGACGAAAGCUAGGGUAGCAAAUGGGAUUAGAUACCCCAGUAGUCCUAGCUGUAAACAAUGGAUACUAGAUGUUGAACAGAUCGACCUGUGCAGUAUUAAAGCUAACGCGUUAAGUAUCCCGCCUG